AUUUUAUUGAUGUAUAAGCAUUUCCGGAAUAGAUUGACUGGACUAACUGGUACAUGCAGUAGGUGAUCUUAUAUAUAAUUAUUAAUAUGUUUAUCAUGUUUAUAUCUAUCACUCUCUACAAAACUCAGAAAAAUUAUCUAUCCUUGAAUUUUUUUUUUUUAAAUUUGACAUAUAUUUUUUUUUAAAUGAUCAGGUUUUCAUUUAGUUUGAUAUAAGCCAAG
rnacentral:lncRNA from 1 species